AUCAACCCUUGGCAUUGCUCUUAUCUUGUUCAUUGGAUGCUCAAAGCUCAUCAAUCCGCCUUCACUGUGGAACAUAAAUCCCGCUGGGAAGGGAGCAAAUGAUUUUGCACAGCCUGCUUUUAUGACUUCCACAUCAUCGGAUAUAACCACAGAACCAUCAGCUGCGAUACCCCAGUACAGCUUCACCCCACCAUCAGAACCCAGUGCUACAAAGACAGUACCAGCCUUGCUAUCAUAGAUAACAAAAGCAAAGCUUCCAUCAAGAUCCUUGACAACUUGAUCAGCAGGGUAUGGACCCCUAUCACGAAGUGUCCGAUAAGCUUCGAUCACAAACAUGGCCUCAUUAGUCCCCUUUGUCAAACCAUAUUGCCUAUUCAGUACACACAAGUUGUCCAAGCUCCCCAAGAACAGGCAGUAUAUAUCCUCAAACCCACAAAAAA
rnacentral:misc_RNA from 1 species